CUUGUGUAACUUUUCUGGAGUCCGCAUAGCCAUCGGCAGAGUACACAGCACUCGGAGACUUCUGCAUGGUCUGUGGGCUCACUAUUGACUCAAGUGCAUGCUGUGAAUGACUCAAAGGUCCAUGGGUGGGAGAAUGAAAGGGGAGGGGGAGAGAGAAAGAGGGAGACAAAAACAUGUUGCUGUUAUUGUGUGUCAGUGGUGCAUCUUCUCUCAAUGGCAAAGAAGAAAACAACAGAGAGAAUGAGAAGGAAAUAAACAAACCAGGGUGUCCCGCCAGGGUUGGGGGGCGGUUGCGUCCUCCUCAUGGCUCCGUGAGCAUGGGCCAUAACACAGCAUUGCACAGGCAUGACUUCAUCUGUUUCCAUAAGAUUUCUUUCUCCCUCUCCCUUUCUUUGGCCUGUAAUUGAGAAACGUAUGAGCUCACCUCCUAGGAGCGGGAAAUCAGAACCGCAAGAGGAAACGAGCUGGAAAGUAUACAUUGGAUUGGGGAAAAAAAACCAUAGAUUCGGUGGGGGAGGAGAUGUAUUGAAAAGAGAAGCAACGCCAUGUGCUUUGCUGCAUCCCUCACAGCUCCAGGGUCACGGCAUCUUCAGGGAUAAUGCACGUGAAUAGGUGACACUGGAAUCUUGGCAGCUCGGCUCUGAACCCUGCCUAACAGGGGAAACAGUCUUGGUCAGGCGAUAGUUGGAGUGCGGUUCUUGAAGAAGUAGUGCGGAUGACACAUCAGCUCAAAAUCUCAGCAGGUGUCAAGUGGUGCCAGCUGAGGCUCUGGCCUUGAUUUUCUUCUCUUCCUUGUCCUGCCACCCUGGUCAAACUAUUCUGAAAAAAUGUAGGCGUGUCCCUCUUUCUAUUUUGUGGUGCCUAGAGGCCAGGGUCCCAUUGUGCUAAGCACAGUACAGACAUUUAACAAAGGGACAGUCCCUGCCCUAUGGAGUUUACAAUCUAAAUACAAGACUGUAGACAACAUGUGGAUACAAUAAAUGGAUGGGGAACUUCAAGGAAUCACGGAGGCGAUGCUGGGCCAUGUGAUAGGCAGGGGUCACUGCGUACCAGGUGCACAACCUUUGUCAAGUUUCCUGUAGGAGGAUGAUUGUCUGAGUAUCCAGCAUCCUCAAACCCCGAUCAUUGUCCCCCUGGGCAUGAGCAGUGUGUGAAAUCAUCCUCUGCCUCCCAUCUGUGUCUCUACCUCUCUCCCUAUUCUCUUCCUUUCCUUUCCCUUCUUUUCAGUCCCUUAUAUCUUUUCCUUUUCCUGGCUGCCUUUUCUCUAUCUUUAUUUAAAUUGAACACUAACUGACAGGGACUAGAAAGAAACUUCCCCUGUGGACAAGUUACUUUAUAGUUGGCCACUUGCAGCUUCCUGAGAAGUAGUUGGCAUUGGUCGAUUUUGGAGACCUGAUGAUGGACUAGAUCUGAUCUGGUCUGGUCAAGUAUGGAAAUUCCUAUGCUUCUCUUUUCUACAUCUCCUUUCAUUCUCUUCCAGUUCUUCAUCUCUUUCAACUCUUGUUCCCUUCUCUCUUUCCCUGUCCCAAGCCUUUCUCCAAUCUCCCCCUAUUGUUUGUACUUAUUUGGAGAGAACAGGACAGGUCUAACUUUGGUCUUAGAUCAGAUUUGGACCAAACAGCCUCUUCCUCAGCUGGUAUGAAUCAGUGUAGCUCCAUUGAAGUCAACAAUUUACUCUAGCCGACGAUGUGGCCCAUAAUGUUCCAGUCCAACCUAAAUCUGAAUUACUCAAACAAGGCACCAUAGAAAGAAAGAAAAGAGGAAAACAAAAUGCAAAUUAAAACUGGCUUUCAACAAAUGUCUCCAGAAGCCCUGGAGAUUUCUGGAUACAGGUGUACAGUGAUGUAGCUCAGAAAGCAGAGAGCGCAGCCAGGGAGUGGGAUGAAUCUUGUUAGUUGAUUGAUUUAUAUUUGCAAAGUGUUUAUAUAAAUUCUAAGAGUUGUUAUUGUUACCUGGAGGAGUAUGAGGUUUUUCUGAACUUCACAAAUUAGUUUCUGGAUUUAUAAGUUUCACAAAACUGGUUUGAAUUAAUGAACACCCCCACUUUUCAUCAUUUAGAACCUGAUGUCCUUGUAAUUUAAAUUCAUCUUUCCCUCCCCUCCAGGGUGAGCCAAUUUUUUAUUUUUAGAAAUGAUCUUCUAGCUAAAGGGAAGCCUGUGCUAUGAAUUAGGGCUAGAAAUGCCACAUUGGCACAAGGGGAUGCCCCGUAUAUGUUAUACUGUAUUUAUUUUUCCAUUGGAUCUUUUUCCCCUCUCCUCUUCUCUGCACCUUUUUUUCUACACUUUUUCCUACAUGAAACACUAAUCCAGUGACAUUCAAACCCACAGUGUUUGAGUGGCCUCUAAAUUAGGCAAAACAAGUUUGCCCAACCCUAGUGCAAACUGGGCUCAUUUUCUAAUUCAUACACACUCCAUUCAUUGGUAGUCUGUAAGUCCUAAUACAAUAUACUUCUGUCCUGGGCCCAUCUCCUCAUUGCUCUGGUGCCCCCUCUCAUCCCCUAUCUUAACCUCUUACACUCCUCUGACUCUUUCCCCUCAUAACACAAACAUGCUCUUGUCUCUUCCAGCUCAGCAACAGAAAACAUCCUUGACUCCAGUUGCCUGUCCAGCUACCACCCCCAUAUCCUUUUCAUCUCUAAGCUCAGUGAAUGUGCUGCUUACAAAUGAUAUCUGGUGUUCCUCUCUUCCAAGUCCAUGCCAGACCAUCUCCAACCUGGCUUCUGCCCCCUGCUCUCCACUGAAACUGCUCUCACCAAAGUCUCUAAUGACCUCCUCAAAUCUGAGAACCAGGACUACUUCUGCAAGUAAUUGUCCCUAUGGGUACUCCACUUCAGGUGUGUGCACACCCCUAUGCCUCUGACUGGAGAUUUUUGGUAGCAGUGUCCACGUAGUCCACGUCUUCACGCUGUGUGUCCUCAUGCUCUGAUCUGAGGGCAUGUAAGGCAGGGUGAACCUGCCGUCCCUCCAGUUCCUUCUCAACCAUCUGAGGCCUGAGACGGAGUGCAGCUGUGUGGGCUUAUGCUCUCCUCUGGCACCGAAGCACUGCAAUACCAACAAUACCAACAAGAUCAGCUCCCCUCUUCUGACUUGAAGAUUUCCAUUCAGGGUUCCACCACCUACCCAUUCAGACCCCCUCCCCCCCAGCCUUUUCUGAAAGAGGGUCAUCAGGAAACAGGCAUUUGCAAGUCCCUCAACAGCCUUCUGGGUACCACCUACUUGGGCAGGGAAGCCCUGCCAAUAAAUAAUGCCUUGCUAGAGCCAACCAGAAGAGCAUGGCAAAUGCCAGACACUGUUCCUCCCACUUGCAAAUGGGUGGACAAGAAAUAUUUUGCACCCUCGAAAGGCACACAAUACCUAUUCCCCCAUCCUGUCCCAAAUUCUUUCAUGGUUGAUGCUCUGAAUGAAAGAAACAAACAGCAUCAUUCCUCAUCAUUCCACACCACACCAAAAAGAAAUGUAAGUGCACAAAAGUUAUUCCUUGGUCUCUUUACAAUUCAGGGUAGCAAAUUACCAAGCCCUGAUUGCUAAGUCUGACUACACAAACUACAAGAAAUUCACUCAUUUUGUUGAAUAUCUCCCACAAGAACAAAGACCAAUUCUAGGUACUCAUCACUGAAGGACAACUAGGGGCCAAGGCCCCAUCACAGGCAACUUUGGAUGUGGCAGACACAGCCUCUUGGUCUAUGACAACAACCAUAGUAAUGUGCCGUGUAUCCUGCUUACAGUCCUCUGGAGUCCAUAGAGAGAUCCAGAACAUAGUGGAGGAUCUUCUAUGUGAGGGUCCCAAGCUAUUCAGCAACACCAUGGAUGAAUCCCUCCAUUCCUUAAAGGGCUCCAGAGCAAUUCUUCAGUCUUUGAGAAUUUACACUUCUGCAACCAAAGAAGAUAUAGCAGAUCUUACAGCCCAAAGAUCCAGCCUGGUCCGGUUUCUAACAUAUCACAGGGCUAUAGAGCCACCUGGGAAAAGACCUAGAUUCAAAGGAAAAGACCAUUGAUCUCCAAAGCUAUAGUCAACCAGCCAUCAACCUCUACAAAGCAGCUGUUAUUGGUCAAUAGCUACAAGUCAUUCUGUCAUCUGGAUCUUAUGCUGCAUCACCCUUCUAUUUCCUACCUCUCCACCUUAUGGGGACUGCCUUUCCCAUUUCAAGCAUUCAUGGUAAUGAAUCACAUAGAGCAGAUGGGUGCUAGCAAGCAUCACAUCAGGAUAUGCCGUUCACUUCAGCUCCAUCCCUCCCCACUACUCUUCAGGGACCCAUCUCAUGAAGGUCUCCUAAGAUAGGAAAUAACUGGGUGUAGUAGAGCCAGCUUCCCCUCCCUAUAUGGGAAAAGGCGUCUACUCCAGAGCCUUCCUGGUACCCAAGAAAAAAAGGGAGGUGGAGACUGAUUUUGGACCUCAGCACACUUAACAUAUUCAUCCAGACUCUUAUGUUCAGGAUGGCAACCUUAGCAGCAAUUAUAUCAUCUCUAGAUCCAGGGGGUUGAUUUAUGACCCUCGAUCUCUAGGAUGCAUACUUUUACAUAGCACUGUGUCCAGCUCACAAGCACUUCCUGAGGUUCAUGGUUGGUCACAAAUAUUAUCAAUAGUGGAUACUUCCAUUCAGCCUCUUGACUGUCUCAAGAUGCUCCACAAAGGUCCUUUCAGUGGUGGCUGCCCAGCUGAGACAGCAGUGGCAGUCUUUCCCUGCCUACACAACUGGCUCCUGCUGUAUACCUAUCCUCCUAUGCCACUGCUUCUCAAAGGACUGAAAAAGAUGAAAAAAAGACAAAUCCAAAAUCAACCUAUGCAAGAGGGGUCUGAUUCCGAGACUUGAUUUGCCUGCCACUUUGGCCACCUCUUCACCUGCCACUGACAACAAACUUGCUGGCUCAAAGGAACCUCUCUGGGAAAAAUAGUUACCCCAAUCUACCCACACUAUAUCUCAAGGCCUGGCUCUUGGAUGACUCUCGGGCAUAGGAAGGGAUUGUUCAUUUUCAAGUGCAGAACAUAGGGAUGAACAGGAAACCAUCAGUGAGGAAGACUUACCUUCAUAAAUGAAUGUGAUUCUUCCACUGGUGCUCCCAGCGUGAUUGUUUCCCUCUAAGCUUCACAUAAUACAGAUUUUAGAUUACCCAUUAAAUUUAAAGACCGUGGGUUUGUUGCUAAGUUCCUUUGAAGUCCAUUUUGCAGCUGGUAGCUCUGGCACAUCAUCCUGCCCCAGGUUUUAUCCGGGCAAAGUGACUCUUUGCCUCUAUCUUUGUUUUCUCUCCCAGAUCUCCUCUGAUUUCUCCAUGACAUUCUAUUACCCAUAUUCUACCCUAAUCACACAACUCUUGGGAAGAAGCUAAUCUCCACACUCUGGAUGUUGGAGGGACUAACGUUCUACCUAGAAAGAAUUUGACCCUUCAAAAUCUCUUCUAAGUUUUUCAUCUCCUUCAUAGGAUGAGUGGAACCUCUAUUUGUAUCCCACGACUUUCCAAAGGGAACUUGGGAUGCUUUUUGUCCUCUCUAGAAUGCACCCUCCCACUAAGGUGACUGCUCAUUCCACUAGGGCCCACCUCUCUGACUUGGCUCAUGAAUCUCCCCAUCAAAGACAGCUGUAAAGCUGCUACCUGGUUAUCUGUUCACUGCUUUUCCCAGCACUAUGCCACAGUGCAGGUCUGAUGCAGCUUUUGAGACAGCUGUUCUCCAAACUGUACUAGACAGGACUCCUCAUCACCCGACCCCUUAGUCUGGGCACUGCUUGGGAGUCACCUGAAGUCGAGCACCCAUAAGGACAAUUACUCAAAGAAGGAUUGCUGAUUACUUGGUACAGCAAGGUGAGUUCUUCAAAAUGUUUUGUCCUCAUGGGUGCUCCACUAUCUGCCUUCCUUCCCCUCUGCUUCAGAGUGCCAGCAUUAAGCCAUAUUUCACAAAGGAGAAGGAACUGGAGUGGCAGCAGUUCCACACUGAGGGUGUACAGAGCACAGGUGAGGAUCACAUGGACACUGCUACCACAAACCUCUGAUCAAAGAUGCACUGUCAUGCAUGCACCAGUAGUGUAGUACCUAUAGGGUCAAAAUAUCUCAAAGAACUCAAGUUGCUGCCAGAUCCUCAGCUGGUGUAAGUCAAUGUAGCUCCAUUGACUUCAAUGCCAGUUUACCCUAGCUCAGGAUAUGGUCCCAGUGUGAAGAAGGAGGCUUGCAUCAGAAUUUGUUUGCUUGGCAUUGUGACGGGGUGGCAUUGUGACUAGGCCAGUGGGGGCUGACCAAUCACUGUGGGCCCAGGAGACCAUGACCCCUCACUCCUGCUGUGCAUUCUCCAGCCGAAGGGACAGAUAAAAAGGAAGUCCAGCUCAGUCAGGGCUGGUGGAGGAAGAGGAAGGGCAUGUGCUGCAGGCUUCCGCUGAGGAACUGUCAACUCUCCAGUCUGUAGGGACUGUGAACCCAGAUUAUGCUGCGCACAGCUAACUGACCACGGAGACCUACUGGGAUGCCAAGCUGCUGACAGCUGAGAAGAUGCUCGAGAUGGGCUUUUUGGUCAAACCCAAAGGAGUGUGGCCAAUCCUUUGAACUGAAGUCCAUGGAGCUAUCAUUCAUUGACACCAGCUGAGGAUCUGGCCCAUUGAUCUUAGAAGAAAGAGCACAACAAUAGCAGCUGUAACCGGAUUUAUGGGGCACAUGGAACGGAACACUGAACACUUUGCAGACACAAAUGUCAUAUGUGGAGCAAUGGAUUAUAACCCCUCCCCUGAGCAUAAUGGGACUAGGCAGACCUGGAACCAAAACAUAUGAAAAGAUUGUGCAAGUGUUGCCGUCACAGUAUGUUCCAACACUGCUGGUGGUGAUGGAGAGAUUUCUGUUUUGUAAUAGAAACCAAAAAGAGUGGGAAAUGCUUUCACAGUGCGUUUGAUGCUGGCAGACACCCUUUGUGUCAAGCUGGUCUUCAGUCCUUGUAGUGACGAUAUACAGAAGUGACUAUUGUCUGAGCCAGAUCUCACAGGCCAAAAGGCUGUGGAAAUUGCAGCCCAGGGAAUCCCUAGUGCUGAAUAUUCAUCCAAAAAGGUACAAGAUUCCAAGGGAAAUGUCAGGUAUUCUGGGAUUUUACUGAUGUGGCAAGACAGGACAUCAAGAAUAGUGUGCUCGUGUAAAGAUCAGAUGGGCUUGCAAUAUACUAUCGAGGAACCAACUGAUUGUCCCUGUAUGCAGAAUAAAGUGGCCACAGGAAAGGCCAAUACUGGCCAAAAAACAAACAAACCAGCAAUAAAGUGUGGCAAGAAGACACUGGAUGAUCCCUCUGGACAGGAAGAAAACAGAACAAGUCAGCAGAAAUUACAUUGCACAUCUCUACUAUAACAUUAGCUAAUUUUUACUAAUCUAUCAAAACAUAUCUUGAGUCAUUGCCAAGGAGAAGUGAAAUCAACAAGGAGUGGGAGCAGAUAGAAGACAGACAGAUCUUUUAAAAGCAGCACUAGCUCAUAUCUAUGCUGCAAGGGCUGAAUGAGUUUCACUGCUGAAAGAGGACCAGUGUCAUACACAGCAAACAUAUGAUGAAAAGCAUGUCUUGCAUGCUGGAGUUAUGAUUAGCAGUGUUUGGUCCUUUAGAUGCUAAGAUGGUUCAUUGGUUGAAUUAGCAGAAAAUGCAAGAAUUUCAGAUCCAGAACAUGUGAAUGAAGCAUUCAGAUCUCUUCCAUUCUCAAGCCUUUUCUGUUGUUGGAAUAAACAGAUAAUCCUGAAUCAGCUUCCUUUUCCAUAUCACUAACUGAUUGCGCUGGGACGUCUGUUUCACAUGCAGCAUGAUGCGAUGAAUUUUCCAGUUCCACUGUUCCAAAACCCAUACUUAUUUCAAGAUGAAUUAGAAGACCUCCUCAUCAUUUUAAUUUGUAACACAGAGUGGCAAGGCCCUUGCUUUAGGGAAUAAUAAUCCCUGGGCAAAGCCAGAACUGGAGGAUAGUUUUUUAGUUAAUAAUAGUCAUGUUAAUUGAACAUUCCUUUGGGGAAGGUGGGGAGACGUUGCAUCAUAGUAUUCAUUGUGACUACCCAUCAAAUCUGUGAAUCAUAGAAUAUCAGGGCUGGAAGAGACCUCAAGAGAUCAUCUAGUCCAACCCCCUGCUCAAAGCAGGACCAAUCCCCAAUUUUUUUUUGCCCCAGAUCCGUAAAUGGCCCCCUCAAGAACUGAGCUCACAACCCUGGGUUUAGCAGGUCAAUGCUCAAACCACUGAGCUAUUCCUCCCCGCAAUGAUUAGUCUCCCUUAAAAUUACCUAGUGGCAGCAACCAUCUUCAGUUUACAUCACAGUAGAAAGGCAACACAAUAGUCUGCCACCUACCUACAGACAGUUGGUGUGAUUUAUCUUUAUGAGAAUCUCUUUGUUCCCAAGCUAACCCGAACUCUCCCUGAGCCACACACCUUUGUCUGUCGACCAUUUGGAAAGAGAGGUUUGCCAUAGAACUGUGUGUACGCUUAGCAAAUGAGAACUUACAGAUACAAUACCACAGGGAACAGUGUGAACCAUAAAUUCAUCAAAGCCAGAGCCUCUAUAACCUAGUGCUGCGCUGAACAAUGUGGAAGAAAUGUUGUUCAAUCUGUGCCUUUGUGAGCUGUUAUGUUCCCAGCUAGCCCACUCCUACAGUGUGCUCAGUGUGCUGACUCUCCAGGAGCUCUCUCCAUUCUGGAACCGGCCACCUGUCUCCUGCCAGGCCCCAGAGAGGAACAAGACUGGCUGACAAAUACCAUAUGUUAUAGGCUGGCCAAAGGAAGCCUAACUGUAUUUUGUUCAGUUUUGUUUAACUGGGUCACUGUAACAAGGCUGUUUUUACAGCUAGCACAUCUGUAUAUGGUUGAACUUUUCUGUCUAUAUGUGCACUGGUGGAGAUCAGACACCCUUAUUUUUUGCCCUAGAAAUGUAAUAUUCUGCCCUCCCCAACGGCAGUGAUGGAAGUGUGUGUGUGUGGGGGGAGUGAAUAGCAAUUUUAACACCACCGAAGCACACCACCAACAAAAAGUGAUGAGAAACCCCAAGCUUAAAACCAUCCAUUGCGCAAAGUACUUUCAGUUCUUUGUGAAUGUGAUGAGACUGUUUAUACUGAUCAGAAAAAAAAAAACCCAAAAACAUUUGAUAGCGCAUUCAAACCAAGGGUACCCAGAACUCUGGGUAAUGAAUAUCUACACACAGAUUACGUCUAUCUAAAAUGUCAUCAAAACUAGAGUUGGGCUAAAGGCAGAAAGUAGCUAGAUGUGGAUUCUUGUUAACAACAGCACAAAUCCAGAGUAACUCCAUUUAGGUCAGUGUAGCAGAGAUCAGAAUCUGAGCUUACAUCCAGGUCUGGCCUUUUCAAAGGUUCAGCACUUCUGUGUUCUUAGCAGCAUGCCCCAAUGGGGAAAAACUCAGGGGACCGGCGUUCUAUUCCCAGGCCUGCCAUAGACCUGCUGAGUCUUUUUGAGAAAGUCACUUCACCUUCUUCUCCCUCUAUUUCCCCUCCUGCUAUUUAUCUGUCUUAUCUCUUUAGAGUAUAAACUGGUUGGGGCAGGGACUAUUUUCUAAUAUAUGUGUGACACUCAGCCAGUGAGGGUUAAACACCAGCAGGCUAAUUGACCCAAGAUCAACCUUUAAAAACAUAUUCGAGAAAUAUUGACAUUAUAAGCAGGGCCAUUUCUUGUAGAUAGUUAUCAAAGCCAUGUAAGUGGACUAAAUCCUUUGAAAUGCAAACCUAUAUUGUCAGAGAAUUAGUAAAUACUAUUGUAUUUGUCUGUGUUUAUCUGUAUCUGUAAGGCGUUGAGCAAUGUGAUCUAAUUUUCAUGUAGAUGCUAUACUUCCGUUCCUGUCUGUAAUAUUUCAUUGCUAUAUUCUAUUGAUUCAGAAAUCAAAAGCGGAUAUUAGCAAUUAGAUGAAACUUGGGUGUAAUGGUAUCAUCGUCUUUAUUUCUCUUUGAAGUUUGUAGUAAACUACUUGUGAACCUUUGAAUGGUAAAUUGCUUUAUGCUAAUCAAUGCAACUAAUUACCUGUGUAUACAUAGGAAAUAGGAAUUGACUUCAAAGCAACCAUGUAUAUUACCUAUUCUUCAUCCAAGGAAUGCUGGCUGUGCUGUUGGCUAGCAAGAGGCUACAUAACCGGCCAGAGAGCUAUAAAAGAACUUUGGGACCUGAUCCUUUUUUCAUCUCAGAUCUGCUUAAGUUUGGUCAGGGGAAGUUUAAGUCGCAAGACUGAGGUCUCCCGCUCCAGUCUGGAUUAGCCUGCCAUUUCUCAUGGAAGAAUUUAAACAGACACUGCACAUGGACUGCCUAUGGGAUUAUAAUUUAUGGGACUGAUUCUGGAAGAACUUUCUACAAAUCGGCAGCUCACCAUCUCUACUUACGAAACUAACCUAAGAACUUUACUCAUAUCUGUAUGUAUAACGAUCUUUAGUCACAAUACUCUCUCUCUUUUUUUUUAAAUAAAUCUUAGAUUAGUUAA